UGGUAUCCUCAAAAAGCUUUC
rnacentral:piRNA from 1 species